rnacentral:rRNA from 1 species
GAUCCUGGCUCAGGAUGAACGCUAGCUACAGGCUUAACACAUGCAAGUCGAGGGGUAGCAGGGUAGCAAUACCGCUGACGACCGGCGCACGGGUGAGUAACACGUAUCCAACCUUCCCAUAACUCAGGGAUAGCCUUUCGAAAGAAAGAUUAAUACCUGAUAGUACUUUUUCAAGGCAUCUUGAGAAAGUUAAAGAUUUAUUGGUUAUGGAUGGGGAUGCGUUCCAUUAGAUAGUUGGUGAGGUAACGGCUCACCAAGUCUUCGAUGGAUAGGGGUUCUGAGAGGAAGGUCCCCCACAUUGGUACUGAGACACGGACCAAACUCCUACGGGAGGCAGCAGUGAGGAAUAUUGGUCAAUGGGCGAGAGCCUGAACCAGCCAAGUAGCGUGAAGGAAUGAAGGUCCUAUGGAUUGUAAACUUCUUUUAUAGUAGAAUAAAGUGAUCCACGUGUGGAUUUUUGUAUGUAUACUAUGAAUAAGGAUCGGCUAACUCCGUGCCAGCCGCCGC